rnacentral:rRNA from 1 species
AUGGGGGGACCAUCCUCCAAGGCUAAAUACUCAUCAUCGACCGAUAGUGAACCAGUACCGUGAGGGAAAGGCGAAAAGAACCCCGGGAGGGGAGUGAAAUAGAACCUGAAACCUGAUGCAUACAAACAGUGGGAGCACCCUUGUGGUGUGACUGCGUACCUUUUGUAUAAUGGGUCAACGACUUACAUUCAGUAGCGAGCUUAACCGGAUAGGGGAGGCGUAGGGAAACCGAGUCUUAAUAGGGCGAUGAGUUGCUGGGUGUAGACCCGAAACCGAGUGAUCUAUCCAUGGCCAGGUUGAAGGUGCCGUAACAGGUACUGGAGGACCGAACCCACGCAUGUUGCAAAAUGCGGGGAUGAGCUGUGGAUAGGGGUGAAAGGCUAAACAAACUCGGAGAUAGCUGGUUCUCCCCGAAAACUAUUUAGGUAGUGCCUCGAGCAAGACACUGAUGGGGGUAAAGCACUGUUAUGGCUAGGGGGUUAUUGCAACUUACCAACCCAUGGCAAACUAAGAAUACCAUCAAGUGGUUCCUCGGGAGACAGACAGCGGGUGCUAACGUCCGUUGUCAAGAGGGAAACAACCCAGACCGCCAGCUAAGGUCCCAAAUGAUAGAUUAAGUGGUAAACGAAGUGGGAAGGCCCAGACAGCCAGGAUGUUGGCUUAGAAGCAGCCAUCAUUUAAAGAAAGCGUAAUAGCUCACUGGUCGAGUCGUCCUGCGCGGAAGAUGUAACGGGGCUCAAAUCUAUAACCGAAGCUGCGGAUGCUAGUUUACUAGCAUGGUAGGGGAGCGUUCUGUAGGCCGAUGAAGGUGCAUUGUAAAGUGUGCUGGAGGUAUCAGAAGUGCGAAUGUUGACAUGAGUAGCGAUAAAGCGGGUGAAAAGCCCGCUCGCCGAAAGCCCAAGGUUUCCUACGCAACGUUCAUCGGCGUAGGGUGAGUCGGCCCCUAAGGCGAGGCAGAAAUGCGUAGUCGAUGGGAAACAGGUUAAUAUUCCUGUACUUGAUUCAAAUGCGAUGUGGGGACGGAGAAGGUUAGGUUAGCAAGCUGUUGGAAUAGCUUGUUUAAGCCGGUAGGUGGAAGACUUAGGCAAAUCCGGGUCUUCUUAACACCGAGAAGUGACGACGAGUGUCUACGGACAUGAAGUAACCGAUACCACGCUUCCAGGAAAAGCCACUAAGCUUCAGUUUGAAUUGAACCGUACCGCAAACCGACACAGGUGGGCAGGAUGAGAAUUCUAAGGCGCUUGAGAGAACUCGGGAGAAGGAACUCGGCAAAUUGAUACCGUAACUUCGGGAGAAGGUAUGCCCUCUAAUGUAAAGGACUUGCUCCGGAAGCAUCUGAGGGUCGCAGAGAAUCGGUGGCUGCGACUGUUUAUUAAAAACACAGCACUCUGCUAACACGAAAGUGGACGUAUAGGGUGUGACGCCUGCCCGGUGCUGGAAGGUUAAUUGAAGAUGUGAGAGCAUCGGAUCGAAGCCCCAGUAAACGGCGGCCGUAACUAUAACGGUCCUAAGGUAGCGAAAUUCCUUGUCGGGUAAGUUCCGACCCGCACGAAUGGCGUAACGAUGGCCACACUGUCUCCUCCCGAGACUCAGCGAAGUUGAAAUGGUUGUGAAGAUGCAAUCUCCCCGCUGCUAGACGGAAAGACCCCGUGAACCUUUACUGUAGCUUUGCAUUGGACUUUGAAGUCACUUGUGUAGGAUAGGUGGGAGGCUUUGAAGCAGAGACGCCAGUCUCUGUGGAGCCGUCCUUGAAAUACCACCCUGGUGUCUUUGAGGUUCUAACCCAGACCCGUAAUCCGGGUCGGGGACCGUGCAUGGUAGGCAGUUUGACUGGGGCGGUCUCCUCCCAAAGAGUAACGGAGGAGUUCGAAGGUUACCUAGGUCCGGUCGGAAAUCGGACUGAUAGUGCAAUGGCAAAAGGUAGCUUAACUGCGAGACCGACAAGUCGAGCAGGUGCGAAAGCAGGACAUAGUGAUCCGGUGGUUCUG